GACUUGUAAUUAUAUUUAAUUUGAUUUUUGAUAAUUUAUAAAUAAUAUACUUGACCUAUUCUUUUUUUUACUCAAGCGGAUUAAAUAUAUUAAAAUGAGCUAAGUUUUUUUGGUGAAUAUUAUAAAUACUCGAAACUAGAAUUAUAUUACUAAUUUUUAUGGAUUAAGUUUAAUUAAAAGUAAGAUUUGGAGUUAAUAAAUUAGCCCAAAACUUGUUAUAAACUACAAUAAAUUUUGGAAAUUAAAGUUUUAAUAUUGAGAAAUCUUGAGGCUAUAAGAACUAGAGUGGAAUACUACUAAAUUUUAUAUAGUUUACCUGAAAUAACGAAGGAAAUAGAGAAUGGUUGGUUGUUAGACACUGCUAGUAGUUCACACUUCACUGUAUUUCGAUCUUGGAAAAGUGAUGAUGCACCUCCCCAUCGCCUAGAUUAGAGGCUGGCUACAAUGGAUUGCCAAGUGUAAUUUUUUCACAGAGAAGAUUGUUACGCAUACGCUUUUUCUUGGUUCGGAAAGAGUAAAAUGGAGAAAGCAAGCAACAGGCAACGUGUUCUUCUCGGUCACCUCCGUUCUUCUUCUUCUUAUAACAAUCAUGAAUCCUCUCUCUCUGCAUCUGCUUGUUUAGCUGGAGGUAGCGCGGCAUAUGGAGAUGAUGUCGUUGUUGUGGCGGCUUAUCGAACUCCGCUAUGCAAAUCAAAGCGUGGUGGUUUCAAGGAUACUCAUGCUGAUGAUUUACUAGCACCUGUGUUGAAGGCAUUGAUAGAGAAAACUAAUUUAGAUGCAAGAGAAGUUGGGGAUAUUGUUGUGGGUUCGUCAUUGGCACCAGGGUCUCAAAGAGCAAGCGAAUGCAGGAUGGCUGCGCUCUGUGCUGGUUUCCCUGAAACUGUGCCGAUAAGGACUGUCAAUAGGAAAUGUUCGUCUGGGCUUCAGGCAGUUGCUGAUGUGGCUGCUUCUAUCAAAGCAGGGUUCUAUGAAAUUGGCAUUGGAGCUGGGUUGGAAUCCAUGACAGUAAAUUCAAGGGCGUGGGUUGGAGAUGUGAACCCAAAGGUAAAGCGCUUUCAGGAAGCCCAAGAUUGCCUUCUACCCAUGGGUGUUACUUCAGAGAAUGUUGCACAUCGUUUCAGUGUGACAAGGCAGGAACAGGAUCAGGCUGCAGUUGAUUCUCACAGGAAGGCCGCCGCCGCUUCUGCUUCUGGCAGAUUCAAGGAUGAAAUCAUCCCUGUCGCUACAAAGAUAGCUGACCCUAAAACUGGGGAUGAGAAGCCCAUAAUAGUUUCUGUUGACGAUGGGAUUCGCCCAAACACAUCAUUAGCAGAUCUGGGAAAACUAAAGGCCGUGUUUAAGAAAGAUGGGACCACCACUGCUGGGAAUUCUAGCCAAAUCAGUGAUGGUGCUGCGGCUGUGUUGCUCAUGAAAAGAAGUGUUGCUAUGCACAAAGGGUUACCCGUCCUUGGUGUAUUCAGAACAUUUGUUGUUGUUGGUGUGGAUCCUGCCAUCAUGGGUGUGGGCCCAGCUGUUGCAAUCCCCGCUGCAGUGAAGGCUGCUGGUCUAGAACUUGAGGAUAUUGAUCUUUUUGAGAUAAAUGAGGCAUUCGCUUCCCAGUUUGUAUAUUGCUGUAAGAAGCUGGAGCUUGAUCUGCAGAAGAUCAAUGUCAAUGGGGGUGCAAUAGCAAUUGGACAUCCUCUGGGUACAACAGGUGCUAGAUGUGUGGCUACUAUACUGCAUGAGAUGAAGCGCCGUGGUAGGGACUGUCGCUUCGGAGUGGUUUCAAUGUGCAUAGGCACAGGAAUGGGAGCUGCUGCUGUUUUUGAAAGGGGGGAUGGUUGUGAUGAGCUUUGCAAUGCUUGGAAAGUCGAAAGCAACAAUCUCUUAUCCAAGGAUUCAAGAUAGUCGUAUUUGAUGGGCACAUCGCAGAAGCUUCCAAUAAAUGCAGUUUGGAGUUAUUUUAUUAUUCAUAAUAAUAAAGUGUAACAAGGUCUACCUCAUCGUCCAUUAUUACAGUGACGCAAAUUCUCUUCCUUAUCAAACGGUACCUUAGAAUGUCAAGAGAUUUACUAACGCGGUUUGGAACAGAUGUGCACGCAUAUACCUUAUCUUAGAGAUGUUUGAACUUGCAAGAAGUGCCCAAAUUCCUUGGACCAGCCACAGAAACGAUAAACACACGCCUUGGAUUACUACUUACUAGCCAGGGUCACACCGUCCCAAGUUCCUCAUCAUGUAUUUGCAGUGGCAAAAGAAUUGCAGGAGCCGGCGUGUUCCGCUUCAGGGUGUUUACAUCUCAGCGAAUUCUGAGACGAUAUUCUGCUGACUCCCAGGCUCAGGAAACUGUAGGGUGGGAAAGCAAAAAUAUGCCUGCCAACCUUUGCUUUCAAGCCCUCGCAGUGGCAUUAUUUUUUUUACUCAACGGUCGGUUCAACGAGCUAUGAGCUUUUUUUAAUGAGGUACUUUGCACUAUCAAUUUGUACCAUUGAGGCCUCGCAUCUUUGAAAUUUCCUACUUGAACCAUUGGUACUUCUAGUUCAGAGAACUAACAUCUUUAGUCCGUUGAUCCCUAA